rfam:Xenorhabdus cabanillasii JM26, WGS project CBXE01000000 data, contig: XENCA_2134_Contig_159
UAUGAUUGCUAACUUGUUUUUCUCCUUUUUCUUUUUUGCCUUCCCAUGAGGAGGUUUUUCGUUUUAAAAAUAAAAAGAAGACGAACAGAAAAACCUCCCUACCGAUGGGAGGUUUUUUAUUU